AGCGAACGCUGGCGGCAGGCUUAACACAUGCAAGUCGAGCGGGCACUUUCGGGUGUCAGCGGCGGACGGGUGAGUAACGCGUGGGAACGUGCCCUCUGGUUCGGAAUAACUCAGGGAAACUUGAGCUAAUACCGGAUACGCCCUUUUGGGGAAAGGCUUGCUGCCGGAGGAUCGGCCCGCGUCUGAUUAGCUAGUUGGUGAGGUAACGGCUCACCAAGGCGACGAUCAGUAGCUGGUCUGAGAGGAUGAUCAGCCACACUGGGACUGAGACACGGCCCAGACCCCUACGGGAGGCAGCAGUGGGGAAUAUUGGACAAUGGGCGCAAGCCUGAUCCAGCCAUGCCGCGUGAGUGAUGAAGGCCUUAGGGUUGUAAAGCUCUUUUAUCCGGGACGAUAAUGACGGUACCGGAGGAAUAAGCCCCGGCUAACUUCGUG
rnacentral:rRNA from 1 species